CCUACGGGGGGCAGCAGUGGGGAAUAUUGGACAAUGGGGGGAACCCUGAUCCAGCCAUGCCGCGUGUGUGAAGAAGGCCCUCGGGUUGUAAAGCACUUUCAGUGAGGAAGAACGCCUGGUGGUUAAUACCCAUCAGGAAAGACAUCACUCACAGAAGAAGCACCGGCUAACUCCGUGCCAGCAGCCGCGGUAAUACGGAGGGUGCGAGCAUUAAUCGGAAUUACUGGGCGUAAAGCGCGCGUAGGUGGCUUGAUAAGCCGGUUAUGAAAGCCCCGGGCUCAACCUGGGAACGGCAUCCGGAACUGUCAAGCUAGAGUGCAGGAGAGGAAGGUAGAAUUCCCGGUGUAGCGGUGAAAUGCGUAGAGAUCGGGAGGAAUACCAGUGGCGAAGGCGGCCUUCUGGACUGACACUGACACUGAGGUGCGAAAGCGUGGGUAGCAAACAGGAUUAGAUACCCUAGUAGUC
rnacentral:rRNA from 1 species